GGGGCUGAUUCUGGAUUCGACGGGAUUUGCGAAACCCAAGGUGCAUGCCGAGGGGCGGUUGGCCUCGUAAAAAGCCGCAAAAAAUAGUCGCAAACGACGAAAACUACGCUUUAGCAGCUUAAUAACCUGCUUAGAGCCCUCUCUCCCUAGCCUCCGCUCUUAGGACGGGGAUCAAGAGAGGUUAAACCCAAAAGAGAUCGCGUGGAAGCCCUGCCUGGGGUUGAAGCGUUAAAACUUAAUCAGGCUAGUUUGUUAGUGGCGUGUCCGUCCGCAGCUGGCAAGCGAAUGUAAAGACUGACUAAGCAUGUAGUACCGAGGAUGUAGGAAUUUCGGACGCGGGUUCAACUCCCGCCAGCUCCACCA
rnacentral:tmRNA from 1 species